AGCAGCCGCGGUAAUUCCAGCUCCAAUAGCGUAUAUUAAAGUUGUUGCAGUUAAAAAGCUCGUAGUUGAAUUUCGGAAUCUGUCCGUCGGUCGGGCUUCACUGUCCGUACUGGCGUGAUGGGUUCUUACCUUCUGAAUAACCAGCAUGCCAUUCACUUGGUGCGUUGGGGAAGCAGGACUAUUACCUUGAAAAAAUUAGAGUGCUCAAAGCAGGCUAGUGCCUGAAUACAUUAGCAUGGAAUAAUAAAAUAGGACGGCAUGGUUCUAUUUUGUUGGUUUCUAGGAUCACCGUAAUGAUUAAUAGGGAUAGUUGGGGGCAUUAGUAUUCAAUUGUCAGAGGUGAAAUUCUUGGAUUUAUUGAAGACUAACUUCUGCGAAAGCAUUUGCCAAGGAUGUUUUCAUUAAUCAAGAACGAAAGUUAGGGGAUCGAAGACGAUCAGAUACCGUCGUAGUCUUAACCAUAAACUAUGCCGACUAGGGAUCGGGCGAUGUUAAUUUUUUAAUGACUCGUUCGGCGCCUUACG
rnacentral:rRNA from 1 species